GUGGGGAAUAUUGGACAAUGGGCGCAAGCCUGAUCCAGCCAUGCCGCGUGUGUGAAGAAGGCCUUCGGGUUGUAAAGCACUUUUGUCCGGGAAGAAAUCUUCCAGGUUAAUACCCUGGGAGGCUGACGGUACCGGAAGAAUAAGCACCGGCUAACUUCGUGCCAGCAGCCGCGGUAAUACGAAGGGUGCAAGCGUUACUCGGAAUUACUGGGCGUAAAGCGUGCGUAGGUGGUUCGUUAAGUCUGCCGUGAAAGCCCCGGGCUCAACCUGGGAAUGGCGGUGGAUACUGGCGGGCUAGAGUGCGGUAGAGGGUGGUGGAAUUCCCGGUGUAGCAGUGAAAUGCGUAGAGAUCGGGAGGAACAUCUGUGGCGAAGGCGGCCACCUGGACCAGCACUGACACUGAGGCACGAAAGCGUGGGGAGCAAACAGGAUUAGAAACCCCAGUAGUCC
rnacentral:rRNA from 1 species